rnacentral:rRNA from 1 species
UACGUAGGGGGCUAGCGUUGUCCGGAUUUAUUGGGCGUAAAGAGUGUGUAGGCGGCCAGGUAGGUCUGCUGUGAAAACUCGAGGCUCAACCCCGAGACGUCGGCGGAAACCAUCUGGCUAGAGUCCGGAAGAGGAGAGUGGAAUUCCUGGUGUAGCGGUGAAAUGCGCAGAUAUCAGGAAGAACACCCGUGGCGAAGGCGGCUCUCUGGGACGGUACUGACGCUGAGACGCGAAAGCGUGGGGAGCGAACAGG